rnacentral:snRNA from 17 species
UCUCUUGUGCUCGGGCAUGUACUGUCGCCAGUGAGGUUAAUACCGAGGCACAGUCUUUUGCUGAUUGCAAAUUACACAUCCGAACCCGUCUGUUAGCUUCGGCUUCCAGCAAUUUUUGGAAUCAUUUACGCCCUCGGGUAUUAUUAUUACUGUAGUAGUCUGCGCAAUAUAUG